rnacentral:tRNA from 1 species
GCCUUUGUGGUUCAGUGGUUGAACGCAGUCUUGGUGAGACUGAGGCCCAAGUUCGAUUCUUGGCUAAGGCU